rnacentral:rRNA from 1 species
UGGGGAAUCUUGCGCAAUGGGCGAAAGCCUGACGCAGCGACGCCGCGUGGAGGAUGAAGGUCUUCGGAUUGUAAACUUCUGUUAAGUGGGAAGAAAUGCCCAUUCCUAAUACGAAUGGGAGAUGACUGUACCAUUAGAGAAAGCACCGGCUAAACUCGUGCCAGCAGCCGCGGUAAUACGAGUGGUGCAAGCGUUAUUCGGAAUAAUUGGGCGUAAAGGGUGUGUAGACGGCAUAUUAAGUCAAUUGUUAAAUUCUCCGGCCUAACCGGAGGCCUGCAGUAGAAACUGAUGUGCUAGAGGGUGGAAGAGAGAAGUGGAAUUCUCGGAGUAGCGGUAAAAUGCGUAGAUCUCGAGAGGAACACCAAUGGCGAAGGCAGCUUCUUGGUCCAUUACUGACGUUGAGACACGAAAGCGUGGGGAGCAAACAGGAUUAGAUACCCCUGUAGUCC